rnacentral:rRNA from 1 species
UAGGGAAUCUUCGGCAAUGGACGAAAGUCUGACCGAGCAACGCCGCGUGAGUGAAGAAGGUUUUCGGAUCGUAAACCUCUGUUGUUAGAGAAGAACAAGGACGUUAGUAACUGAACGUCCCCUGACGGUAUCUAACCAGAAAGCCACGGCUAACUACGUGCCAGCAGCCGCGGUAAUACGUAGGUGGCAAUCGUUGUCCGGAUUUAUUGGGCGUAAAGCGAGCGCAGGCGGUUUCUUAAGUCUGAUGUGAAAGCCCCCGGCUCAACCGGGGAGGGUCAUUGGAAACUGGGAGACUUGAGUGCAGAAGAGGAGAGUGGAAUUCCAUGUGUAGCGGUGAAAUGCGUAGAUAUAUGGAGGAACACCAGUGGAGAAGGCGGCUCUCUGGUCUGUAACUGACGCUGAGGCUCGAAAGCGUGGGGAGCAAACAGG